AUCUCUCUCGUGUUUUCAUUUGUUUUCUUUCCUCCCCUUCUGCUCUUUUUUGUCCAACUUCUCAUUUCCUCCUUCGAUUGCCUUCCCCUUUCCCAAUUUAAUCAACCAUCCAGUCAAUCAGAGGCUGGUUCAAUCGAUGAUUGGGCACCGCUCUAUUCCCUCUCCCAUUGUUCAAUCACUGAUUGUCGACUGCUACUAAUUUUUACUCUCGCCGGCCUAUCUCUUCUCAUUUCUACCUCCAUUUAAAGUCCAAGUCAUGCAAUGCAUCUGGAUCAAAAGCAUGUCAAGCGAAGUUGCAUAGAGAUCAACUAAAUGAGAGGUAUGAAGAAGGAUCGGUCUAAAAGUGUUGUUGAGAUUCCUGCUUCAGUUUUGGAGUUCUUUACCAGAAGCAAACAAUUGUGAGGGAAGCGCGUUGCAACAAUACCACUCUGGUGGAGAAUGGAGAGACAUGCUAGGUGUGGUUUCCCAUAGAAAAAAUGAGGCACUGGCUCAAGAAAAUUUCGGUAAUAUGUGGACAAAAGGAAGAAAUCACAAGAGGGAAGAACGUGCAAAUCAGAUGGGAAAAACUUUAAAUCUAAAGACUCCAGUGACGACUCUGAGACGGAACUGUUUGGAAGAAUAUAUAGUGGAGCAACAACUUCUUCAUCCAUGUCCUUAGCUUCUUAGAAUUAUUUAGAUACUCUCUACAUUUUUAUUGUAUUAAAUUGUAGUCAAUAUUUUGGUUUAUUGAAAUUAUGUAAAACAUGAUUAGAUGUGUGUUAAUGUAUAUAAUUUUGUUAUUUAAA